rnacentral:rRNA from 1 species
GAGUUUGAUCCUGGCUCAGAUUGAACGCUGGCGGCAGGCCUAACACAUGCAAGUCGAACGGUAACAGAAAGCAGCUUGCUGCUUUGCUGACGAGUGGCGGACGGGUGAGUAAUGUCUGGGAAACUGCCUGAUGGAGGGGGAUAACUACUGGAAACGGUAGCUAAUACCGCAUAACGUCGCAAGACCAAAGAGGGGGACCUUCGGGCCUCUUGCCAUCGGAUGUGCCCAGAUGGGAUUAGCUUGUUGGUGGGGUAACGGCUCACCAAGGCGACGAUCUCUAGCUGGUCUGAGAGGAUGACCAGCCACACUGGAACUGAGACACGGUCCAGACUCCUACGGGAGGCAGCAGUGGGGAAUAUUGCACAAUGGGCGCAAGCCUGAUGCAGCCAUGCCGCGUGUAUGAAGAAGGCCUUCGGGUUGUAAAGUACUUUCAGCGGGGAGGAAGGGAGUAAAGUUAAUACCUUUGCUCAUUGACGUUACCCG